GGGCUUUGAUGAUGAAAAUUAUACCAUCAAACUAUGAGAGCUCAAAUGUGGGCUUGUUGAUGUUCAUAAUCUCUGAGCCC